rnacentral:rRNA from 1 species
AGCCAGACUCCUACGGGAGGCAGCAGUGGGGAAUAUUGCACAAUGGGGGGAACCCUGAUGCAGCGACGCCGCGUGGGUGAAGGAGCACCUCGGUGCGUAAAGCCCUAUCGGCAGGGAAGAAACAGACGGUACCUGACUAAGAAGCCCCGGCUAACUACGUGCCAGCAGCCGCGGUAAUACGUAGGGGGCAAGCGUUAUCCGGAUUCACUGGGUGUAAAGGGAGCGUAGACGGCCAAGCAAGCCAGGGGUGAAAGCCCGGGGCCCAACCCCGGGACUGCCCUUGGAACUGCAUGGCUGGAGUGCGGGAGGGGCAGGCGGAAUUCCUGGUGUAGCGGUGAAAUGCGUAGAUAUUAGGAGGAACACCAGUGGCGAAGGCGGCCUGCUGGACGAUGACUGACGCUGAGGCUCGAAAGCGUGGGGAGCAAACAGGAUUAGAUACCCGAGUAGC